AGCUUUGUGCAGUGGCAGUAUCGUAGCCAAUGAGGUUUAUCCGAGGCGCGAUUAUUGCUAAUUGAAAAAUAGGCAGAGGGUAACUGAAUGGUACAGCUGCUCAAGCAUCUGACUCUUGGUUUUGGCUCAGGUCA